rnacentral:rRNA from 1 species
AGUGAACGCUGGCGGUAGGCCUAACACAUGCAAGUCGAACGGCAGCACAGUAAGAGCUUGCUCUUACGGGUGGCGAGUGGCGGACGGGUGAGGAAUACAUCGGAAUCUACUUUUUCGUGGGGGAUAACGUAGGGAAACUUACUCUAAUACCGCAUAGGCCCUACGGGUGAAAGCAGGGGAUCUUCGGACCUUGCGCUAUUGAAUGAGCCGAUGUCGGAUUAGCUAGUUGGCGGGGUAAAGGCCCACCAAGGCGACGAUCCGUAGCUGGUCUGAGAGGAUGAUCAGCCACACUGGAACUGAGACACGGUCCAGACUCCUACGGGAGGCAGCAGUGGGGAAUAUUGGACAAUGGGCGCAAGCCUGAUCCAGCCAUACCGCGUGGGUGAAGAAGGCCUUCGGGUUGUAAAGCCCUUUUGUUGGGAAAGAAAAGCAGAAGGUUAAUACCCCGCUGUUCUGACGGUACCCAAAGAAUAAGCACCGGCUAACUUCGUG